UAGGGAAUAUUGCGCAAUGGACGAAAGUCUGACGCAGCCACGCCGCGUGAGUGAGGAAGGCCUUCGGGUUGUAAAGCUCUGUCAUCCGGGAAAAACGGCUACGAGGGGAAAGUUCUCGUAGCGUGAUGGUACCGGAGGAGGAAGCACCGGCAAACUCUGUGCCAGCAGCCGCGGUAAUACAGAGGGUGCAAGCGUUGUUCGGAAUUACUGGGCGUAAAGCGUGCGUAGUCGGUAUUGAGAGUCACGGGUGAAAUCCCAGGGCUUAACCCUGGAACUGCCUGUGAGACCUCAGUACUAGAGUGUGAGAGGGGAUAGUGGAAUACCCAGUGUAGCGGUGAAAUGCGUAGAGAUUGGGUGGAACACCGGUGGCGAAGGCGGCUAUCUGGCUCACAACUGACGAUCAGGCACGAAAGCGUGGGGAGCAAACAGG
rnacentral:rRNA from 1 species